CCGAGUAGCCGGGGUGGUAGCGGUACCUUGUACCAACAAUCCGCUAUAGUUGGGGUGAUAUCCCGCAGAGGGUCAGGGCGGUGGAGCUGCCCUUCGCAAGUGGCGUUGACGUCUGGGUCUUGCGCAAUGGGAAUUCGUGAACCGGGUCAGGGUAGGAAUACAGCAGCCCUAAGCGAAAGCUCUCAUGUGACGUGAGGGUGCCUGGGGGGAGUUAACUGCAAAGGUAACGUCUAUUGUUUCUGAUUCGAAGCGGGAUACUCGG
rfam:Roseburia sp. CAG:18 genomic scaffold, scf56